rnacentral:rRNA from 1 species
AUACGUAGGGGGCGAGCGUUGUCCGGAAUGAUUGGGCGUAAAGGGCGCGUAGGCGGCGCGGUAAGUCUGGAGUGAAAGUCCUGCUUUCAAGGUGGGAAUUGCUUUGGAUACUGCCGCGCUUGAGUGCAGGAGAGGUUAUCGGAAUUCCCGGUGUAGCGGUGAAAUGCGUAGAGAUCGGGAGGAACACCAGUGGCGAAGGCGGGUAACUGGACUGCAACUGACGCUGAGGCGCGAAAGUGUGUGGAGCAAACAGGAUUAGAUACCCUGGUAGUCCACACUGUAAACGAUGAAUGCUAGGUGUAAGAGGUAUCGACCCCUUUUGUGCCGGAGUCAACACAAUAAGCAUUCCGCCUGGGGAGUACGGCCGCAAGGUUGAAACUCAAAGGAAUUGACGGGG